rnacentral:rRNA from 1 species
UACGUAGGGUCCGAGCGUUGUCCGGAAUUACUGGGCGUAAAGAGCUCGUAGGUGGUUUGUCGCGUUGUUCGUGAAAACUCACAGCUCAACUGUGGGCGUGCGGGCGAUACGGGCAGACUGGAGUACUGCAGGGGAGACUGGAAUUCCUGGUGUAGCGGUGAAAUGCGCAGAUAUCAGGAGGAACACCGGUGGCGAAGGCGGGUCUCUGGGCCGAUACUGACGUUGAGGAGCGAAAGCGUGGGGAGCGAACAGG